GCUAAUAGCUAAUGACUAGUGACUAUUAGCUAUAUAUGCGGGGUAGUGUAGAGUUGCACAGAAGGCUAGUAGAAUGGGCCGUCCCGAGGGUAACUUUGGGAAAAGUACUUGGCUAUAUCGGUGGACAUCCCGAGCGAAGUCGAGGAUUAAAAAUCCUGAGCUUAACUAAGGACAAUACCGAGGGAACCACGUUCAGUUAGAUAUGAACGUGGACUCCGUAGAGACUAAACGCCAGGCUCCCAUUCAGUUUACAUGAAUAUGGGAUGAUGAUAUAGUCCUACCCUUACAGUAAUGUAAGA
rnacentral:ncRNA from 1 species